rnacentral:misc_RNA from 1 species
GUUUCUUCCUUCCGGUCCCGAGACGAUUUCCUGCCGAAGACGUCGAUGGCCCGCGCUUGGGCCAGGUUGAAGCCGCGAUGCUUCAACGAUUGAAAACCUUUCCACCGCAACACGCGAGGCCCCGCAGAUACAAAAUUGCCGCAAGCGGCAACUCCUCACCCGGCAGCACCUUUGAAGCCCCGCUUUGCUUCUCAGGUUUCCUGCUCCGCGCCUCAUGUUUGUUCGAUCAACGAACAUAUGUGCGAUAUUUGUUAGACUGUCG